rnacentral:rRNA from 1 species
UGAGUAACCUGCCCUUAACUCUGGGAUAAGCCUGGGAAGCUGGGUCUAAUACCGGAUAUGACUCCUCAUCGCAUGGUGGGGGUGGAAAGCUUUUUGUGGUUUUGGAUGGACUCGCGGCCUAUCAGCUAGUUGGUGUGGGUAAUGGCCCACCAAGGCGACGACGGGUAGCCGGCCUGAGAGGGUGACCGGCCACACUGGGACUGAGACACGGCCCAGACUCCUACUGGAGGCAG